GUCGAAUUUCGGGAAAUCCCUACAUGACCGAUGAAACUAUCGAUAAAAGAUAUUUUCUUUGAAAUGUUCAGAAUUUCACGAAUCACUACGCGUAAAGCUGAAUAAAAUUUACAACAAAUUUGUAUUGCUCAUUUUAAUUAAAAGACUCGUCACGGUGUCCCUAUAUGUCGUGUGUCGUGGGUUAAAAGUCGUGUGUCGUGGGU